rnacentral:rRNA from 1 species
UACAGAGGAUGCAAGCGUUAUCCGGAAUGAUUGGGCGUAAAGCGUCUGUAGGCGGCUUUUUAAGUCCGCCGUCAAAUCCCAGGGCUCAACUCUGGACAGGCGGUGGAAACUACCAAGCUGGAGUACGGUAGGGGCAGAGGGAAUUUCCGGUGGAGCGGUGAAAUGCGUAGAGAUCGGAAAGAACACCAGCGGCGAAAGCGCUCUGCUGGGCCGACACUGACACUGAGAGACGAAAGCUAGGGGAGCGAAUGGG